UGGGGAAUCUUGCACAAUGGACGAAAGUCAGAUGCAGCAACGCCGCGUGGGGGAUGAAGCUUCUCGGAGUGUAAACCCCUUUCGACCGGGACGAAAAGCCCGCAAGGGAAUUGACGGUACCGGUAUAAGAAGCCCCGGCUAACUACGUGCCAGCAGCCGCGGUAAGACGUAGGGGGCCAGCGUUGCUCGGAAUAACUGGGCGUAAAGGGUCCGUAGGCGGUGUGGCAAGUUGGGAGUGAAAUCUCUGGGCUUAACCCAGGGGCUGCUUCCAAAACUGCCGUGCUAGAGUGCGAGAGAGGUGAGUGGAAUUGCAGGUGUAGCGGUGAAAUGCGUAGAUAUCUGCAGGAACACCCGUGGCGAAGGCGGCUCACUGGAUCGCAACUGACGCUGAGGGACGAAAGCUAGGGGAGCAAACAGGAUUAGAUACCCUGGUAGUCCUAGCCCUAAACGAUCAGAACUUGGGGUGCAUCCCGUUGGGGGUGCGUCCCGUAGCUAACGCGUUAAG
rnacentral:rRNA from 1 species